CCAAUAGCGUAUAUUAAAGUUGUUGCAGUUAAAAAGCUCGUAGUUGAAUUUCGGGAUCAAAAUGUUGGUCGUGCUUCGGUACGCACUGGCAUUAUUGGUUUCUACCUUCUGAAGAACCGCGAUGUCAUUAAUUUGGUGUCGUGGGGAAUCAGGACUGUUACUUUGAAAAAAUUAGAGUGUUUAAAGCAGGCUUACGCUUGAAUACAUUAGCAUGGAAUAAUGAAAUAGGACGUUUGAUUCUAUUUUGUUGGUUUCUAGGAUCGACGUAAUGAUUAAUAGGGAUAGUUGGGGGCAUUAGUAUUCAAUUGUCAGAGGUGAAAUUCUUGGAUUUAUUGAAGACUAACUACUGCGAAAGCAUUUGCCAAGGAUGUUUUCAUUAAUCAAGAACGAAAGUUAGGGGAUCGAAGACGAUCAGAUACCGUCGUAGUCUUAACCAUAAACUAUGCCGACUAGGGAUCGGAUGAUGUUAAUUUUUUAAUGACUCAUUCGGCGCCUUACG
rnacentral:rRNA from 1 species